rnacentral:rRNA from 1 species
AGUGAACGCUGGCGGCGUGCUUAACACAUGCAAGUCGAACGGAUCAAAGUAGCUUGCUACUUUGGUUAGUGGCGCACGGGUGAGUAAUGUAUAGCUAACCUGCCCUUUAGUGGGGGACAACAGUUGGAAACGACUGCUAAUACCCCAUACUCCUUCUUAUCAUAAGGUGAGUUGGGAAAGAUUUAUUGCUAAAGGAUGGGGCUUUAUUGUAUCAGCUAGUUGGUGGGGUAACGGCCUACCAAGGCGAUGACGCAUACCUGGUCUGAGAGGAUGAUCAGGCACACUGGAACUGAGACACGGUCCAGACUCCUACGGGAGGCAGCAGUGGGGAAUAUUGCACAAUGGAGGAAACUCUGAUGCAGCAACGCCGCGUGGAGGAUGACGCAUUUCGGUGUGUAAACUCCUUUUAUAAGGGAAGAUAAUGACGGUACCUUAUGAAUAAGCACCGGCUAACUCCGUGCCAGCCGCCGCGGUAACAC